CACUUAACAUUUUCUUCUGGUGUGAAGGAAUAAUUUCCAACUAAACAUCUUAUGGAAAGCUGCUUGCUGAUUUUGCUAAGCACACUUACUGAAAAUUAGUUCUUCUAAUUGCCAAAAAUACUUAUUUUCCAAAUGUUUCUACCUUGAUUCUAGCCAGCAGGCAAGGCAUACACUAAUGGGUAGAGGAGGUAUGAAUCAAACCAUGAGGUUCUGUUUUGAGGCAUCAUACAUCACUUUCCUAGCCAGUCAUUUUCCAUUUAUGCUUUAUCUUCUCACACUAAGCCAUUAUGAUGCACUGAGUUGUCAUGUUGGUGUGUGCUAUUAUACAAAUGUAACCAGAUGUGACAUAAAGCAAUGCUAAAGGGCAGCUAGAAUUACUUCCAUUUCCAGACCAGGAAAUUAUUGUCACUGUGAAUAUUCAUUCAUGGAGGAUGCUUCUGACCUGCAAUGAAUGCCCACUCUCGUGUUUAUUCUGUCUUACAUAAGGAUAAAGAAGACAGACAAAAGUGGAAAGGAUAAAGAAGACAGACAAAAAUGAAAUUACAUAAGUAUCAUCUUCAGAUUAUAAUUCACCUCCUCAUCAUUCCAGAUCAUAUCACUCUAUCUACAAUUUAUAUUGAUAAGAAUCUUCCAGUUUAGAAGGAAGUGAAGCAAAAUAGUAUGACUGCUGGUUUGCAAAUUCCCAAGUGCAAAAAUUAUUAAGAACAUGAAGAACAAAGAAUGAGGAACCAAUCCAGAAGUAUGGGCCCAAAUGACUUUAGCAGUGACCCACUGAAGACAUGCAUGGAACCUAAGCAUGAUUAAAUUGGAUGGUCUUAAUUUCAUUUUAUUCUGCCCAUCAACACUACUGUUAAAGGAGUAAUGAAAACAUUUUUGUUUCAUCAAAUUUAAUAGGGACAUCUUUAACUGUAUGGACCCAGACAGUAUCGUGAUGGAUGUGGAGACAAAAAAAAAAAAAUGUAAGAGAGACAUCAUUGACAUUCACCUCUCAGAGGCAAAAGAAAGUACACUCUGCUCUUUGUGCAUGAACAGAGAACAAUCUCUCAUCUUUCUUGCUACCACCAAAAUUCCUAUGACAUUUUUGCAUGGGGUGCCAGUAACAAAGCAUAUGCUUCUUUGUGGCUCUCAGCACGUGCCUUUGAACAGCUCCUCCAAGUUGUUGGAUGGUGAAUGGGCAGGAACUGCCAAUCUGGUGAGCACUCACAAUUCCACUAUAGCUUGUAAGGAUAAAAUAAUGCAGAGAAUUGAUUGAAGGAAUUCCUACAAUUCUUCUUUUAAGUAUAAUCAUAUGGACCAGGAAGCAUGAAUGUGUUUUUCCAAAUACACCUGGGAAGCCCACGCUGCUAUUAUCUGUGUGCUACCUAGAUUGUGGAUAAAUGAUGGAAGAGACACUUUCACAGGGCAUUUUACAGUGCUUACUUAUGAGAAUGGAAACUGGAAGACUACCAUCAUGAUUCUGAAAAGAAAAAUAUGAAAAAAAUAAUCUGUUCCUACAUGUCCAAGAAGUCAUGGGAUCUUCCUCCAAUGCAAACAAGAAAGUUUGUAAACUGAUUUAAAACAAUCUUUUAGAUCUGUAUCUGGAAAUAAAAGAGUAAAAUAUGUCCAGAAUAUACUGACAUAUUUUAUACAGAAUGAAGUGUUAAUCUACAGAAGGAAGCUUGUCAGCACUCUACAAAACCAAUGCAGGUCAAGUCACUCCCUCCCCAGGAAAAUUUGGACCUGUGCCAGCCAGUAUGCAGUGGUGUGCAGGAAGCCUCCCAGGAGCUGGUCUCUCUCAAGUCCUACAGAAUGACCAGGUAGCUCUGGUACCUCUGGCAGCUGUUAUUCUCAUCCAGAAGCACAGUUCCCUGGAUGGAAGUUAACCAACUUCCAAGCACUUGGCCACACUGACUGUCUGCCACAUCUGGACCUGCAGCUUCUAGGGGCAUAUUUUAAAGCCAGAAAUAACUGGUUAUUAGCAUUUGCCAUUUUUGACAGAGUAUUUGCAAAGUGACUAAUCUGAUUUGCUGCAACAGAUCACUUAUUGUUGAUGAAUAGAAGCUUGGGCAUGUGUAUUUUUGUUCCCCAAAGUCUGUAUAGGCCUGUGUGAGCUUGGGUGCAGUCUUCCCUAUAUUCUUCCAUCCUUUCUAGGAUAUCUCCUCCUCCCCUUCUUGACUUUCAUACGUCUCCUUUCUACUCACAAUAUUCAUACGGUGAAAUCCACUAAGGAUAUUUUGCUGAAUUAAUAUUCACUUCUCAUUAAUGUGAAUAAAGCUUAAGUGAAUCAUUUAUCCUGCAGUAUUUACUGACUUACAGAUAAUAAUCUUGCAUUACAACUAAUAGGUAAAGGUCAGCUUGCAUGAUUCACUGUUAAUUUGUUUUCAUUUAAACUAAUUUACUUAGAAUUUGUACAGCAUUGGCUCCCUAAGGGAAUGCAGCAAAAACUAUGACCUGAUGACAAGUAGAACCAUUAAAUUAUAACAGAAUUAUUAAUAAAAGAGUCUUUUUUAUAAUUUGUUAAAAAUCUUGGGAGAUAUUAGCAACUUAUUUAUGUAAGAUAUGGAAAGUACGUCUGUAAUAUAAUUGCAUAUAAAUUAAAAAUUUGCCUGGAGAGACUGUACAGUGGUCAUAGUUUAAAAAUGAUUGGCAGAUACAUUAACAUUGAGUGCCCCAGGAGAAAGAUAAUGAAUUCUGGGUUUUGAUUUUUUUCUGAUUUCCAAGGAGGAUGUUAGUGUGUUCUUUUGUUUGUGAUGCUUGACAUUGUCAUAACUAGUUGACUUAAAAAAUGAAAUCACUUACAAUGCUGGUCUUGUUAAUAGCUAACUGGGUUAUUUUGUCUUUCAUUUAGCUUAUGAGACAGAGCUAGAAAAAAGAAUGUAUAACAGUUUCAAGGAAUAAAAUGAAGCUUGUUUCAAGUACAUGCAGAUAAGAUAUUUUAGGUGCCAUUGAAUCUUUUAUUAGUAUAUAGCUGCUUCACUUGUUGACAGGAAAACCAAAGAUAUACUUCAUUAUGCUUUAUAAAUUAGAUGCCCUAGCUCUUUGGUUUAUUUAUUGCGACAUGAGAAGUAACACAUUAAUUAAAAAAUCUUGCCAGCUACAGAUGUGACCUAGGUGAUCUGACUUAGAUCAGGCUGUAACCACCUGAAGUCUAUAUAACUGAUUUAUAGACUUCUGCAUGACUGUAGGAUGGCAACUCCAGAUGCCUAAAUGUAGCCAGAAGUGGAAGCUCAAAACACUCUUUUAUUUCCCAUUAACAACAGACACUGAUAUGCUUGCACUCUGCUCACUCAUCAAACUACAUAAACAUUUUCUUCACUUUGUUAAAAUAUUUUUUCUUUGUUAAAAAGGUAAUGUUUGUACAUAUUCUCAGAUGUCACAUCAUAUGACAGUGACAGUUUAUGCUCAUCUCUAGUUAAAAAUAUAGCUACUGAUUAACAUUGUUUUUAGUAAUACACAAGAGGAUGCCCUGCAAUGUAGUGGAAAGAGCAGAAAAAGACCAUUUAGAAGAACUGACAUCAAAUUUCUUGGAAAUGACACAUGCUGAAUGUGCCCUUAAUACUUUUUCAAACAGGGUAUACCUGAUAUCCUAUUUUAUCACAUGCUUAUAGAAACCAGUUUAAAUUUUAUUUGAAAAGCUCUCCUCCAAAUUUCAGUGUAAGAAAUGAGAAACCUUGUUAAUCUCUAAAUGCUUAUCUUGUGCAUUUUGUCAUAUAAUCCCAUUAGUGAUAGAUCCUAAAUUUUAUUCUAAAAUAUCUUAAUACCCAAAGUAAUCUAUGAAUCAUUUGAAUAAUAUUGUAAAGUAUAAAUAUUUGGAAGAUUCCAUAAAAGUGGCUUAUUCAAUAAACAGAUAAUUAAACAUAAUUAGCACCUACUCUCUGUUUAAUUCAAUAUUUCAUCUCCUUUGAGGAGCAAUAGAAAAUGAUCAGAGACAAAUCCUUACCCAAUUGCACCCAAAAUCAGUAGGGACACUCUGGCAAAAUAAGUUCCCCUGAAUUUUUUUCUUAAUCAAAUUUAUAUUUAAUUUGUUAUCUGAAAUAGAUAUGAUAUUAGAUAUUAUAUGAUUCUGAAAAGUCUCAAUAUAAUUAUAAGCUUUUAAUAUCCUCAUAAUCUUUUCCAUCUCAUGUCUCCCAACUUCUUCCCGAACAAUGAAUUUCACAGUAUUAAUAUAUUCACUGGAAAAAUCAAUAUCUUAAUUUUAUGCUAUUAGGUAUACAGAAAUUUCUACUUUAUUAUUUUUAAUGUCCUUAAGGACUGAAUUCUACAGAGAGAGAACAUUUUAAAGAUUGCAAACAGUAAAAUUAUACAAAUAAGUUUUAUGGAACUACAAUUGAAGAUGCUAAUUUUCUUUCAACUCUGCACAGCUAUCUACAGCAGGCAGUUUUAUGUCUACAGGAAAGACCUACAACAGAUAGUAUUUAGGCAAUAAAUAAUUCAGUACUGUAAGUAUUGCCUUCUUUGCUAUCUUUAAAAGAAUUCUGGUUUGAUUUUUAUCACUUAACUAGCAUUCACAUUUAAUCAACAAUAAAAACUUUCUAUUUCUCUAAAAUUGCUUAAAAUUAGAGACUAUAUAAGAAAAUUAAUUGCAUAGAAUGUGUCUAGAAUUCACAGGAUCUAUUUUUAUCAUUUUGUAUAUAAAACUAUGGAAAUUUUUAUUAUGUUCUACUUUUCAAAUCACUGAAGAAGUGUAAAUCUUGCCAAUCAAAGCAAAAGAAGGGAUUUUAUUCUGUUCAACAGAGUAAAACCAGGAGUAUUUCUAUCAUGAUUUUGUGUAUACCUUUAACAAUCUAUAUGUCUCCAUUUCCUUGGAUUUGGGUACAGAUCACCAGUUUUCAUAAAUAAAACCAUAUAAUAGAAAGUUUAGUUAUCGAAUUUUGAAAUAAAUUAAGUAAAAUGGCAACAUAUUCCUAGUGAACUAACUCUAAAGAAGUCAGGCUGAUUCAGUAAAUUACAGUACAUCCCCAGAGAUUCCUGUCUCUGACCCAAGGAGCAGUACAAGGGGAGAAUUAAAUACCCAACUGGAUUACAUUUCUAAAUUAAAUGUAUAUUUCAGUCAGUGAAAACUAAAAUGUGUCUAUCAAUGCAAUGUGUUUUCAACAGGUUUCUUCAUUAAAUUAAGGAACUUGUAAAAGUAUGCUGUAGCUCUGUAGUACUAAUGGGCUUCAGAAAAAACAUUUUGUUCAAAAUGUUCUGUGUUGUUUUUAAAGGCUAUAUAACAAUAAAAUUUUAGGAGUUGAUGUUUAGGAAUGUACUGUCAUUAGUUAUUAUAUUUAGGCAAGAGGACAUUGAAAAACACAUAUCCUUUAGCACACAUCAAUACCAAGAAUCCUCUCUUAAUCUGUCCCUUCAUGAGAAAGGUUGGAGGCUAAUUCAGGACCCAGGAAGACUCUGAUACCUUGAUUUGAAUUGGAGAUGACACUUAAAACCUCCUGAAUUGUUUAUUGUCUCACACACAGUAUUGUGACUGUCAUUACUGUAUUUUCCUGAAGCAAGGAGCUUAAGUGUCAGCUCUGAAAAACUGGGGUGCCUUCCUGAGUGGUACUGAAGAUGAAAAGUGAAGGUAUGGCCACAGUGAAGGGCGAGCAGCAGCUCUGCAGAACAAGAAUAGGACAACAGACUACCAUGCCACUGGUUAGAGGGGAAGAUCUAGCACCAAAAUUUAAAGGAUUAAUGGACUUCUUUGCUCAGACUUUGAAGUAUUUACUCUUCUGGAUGUUCGUUAAUGAUUACUUUGCCUAAUUGCACAGCAAACAGCUAAAAAAUAUAAAGCACUUUACAUAUUCAAUUAAUAGAUUUUCAAGAAUUUGAUUUUCUUGUUUCCUGUGACUACUAGUGGAGUCAUCUUGAAUUAUUUUUUUUAAAUUAAAAAUGAAAAUAUAUCUGUAAGUAUCAGCUAAAAUAAAGUUAAGACAGCACAAAAUUGGUCUUAAAAGCUGAGAAAUACAUUGAUACUAUUGAAUUGUGUUUGAAAAAUGACCCAAGAGUUAGGAACACAUACCAGCAUUGAAAAAGUACCCUGGAAUAACUGUUUAGAACUCUAUUACAGCAUUUUUACAGGACUCAUAAAUGCCUUUCCAAAUACCUUACACCAUAUGUUUGCUUCGUAUUGCCUAUAAAGCUCAAGUAAUUUAUAAGUCUGCCACUUCUCCGUAAAUUGAUGUUAUGAGUGGCUUAAAUUUGUCUGAUGCUGUGGGAAAAAGCCAUUGAAUUUUAUGUUCUCUAUUUUCUGGAUGAGCACAUCUGCCAAAAUAGGUUGCUCCAAUGAGUUAAUAGAGCUUAAUGUAGUUUAUAGGUUGCCAUUGAACACUUUUAAUUUUGAGAUGGGCUUCACUCAAAAAUCAAGGCUACUGAAGAGGAAAUGGUUUAAGUAAUUUAAAUGCUCCUGCAACCUUCAACAUUCUCUGAUAAGUAUUUCUAAGGUAGUCUAUUAUGGGAGAAAAAUUGAAUACAGCCAAAUGUGUACAAUAAAUACAGAGAAAAAAAAUGUAAUUCCACUGAAAUCAGGCGGCUCCUGGGCUGUGAACUACUCGCCAAUGCCCAAUUAACCAGUCACAAAAAGAGUGCAACAUCAGGAGCUGAGUAAAGCCAGUUCUGGAUGUAACAGAGAAUGAAGAACAAAUAUACAAGUGCAAAACAUUACAUAUGAUGAUUGUGGAUGUGAAUUUUGAGGUACUUUGCAGGUCAGUAAGUAAAGCAUGACAGUAAAUGUAAUGCGAGGCAGAUCCUGGAGGGACUAGAAAGAAACUGUCAUCAGUUUCUUCUUCAACAUCAUCUUCAUCCCUACGUCCAUGAAGAGCAUGGAAUGCCAAAGAUUGCCACAGCCCUCCCUCACAGCCUGAAACCAUUGAUGAAUUCUAGAAAUUUUGAGUAGAUAUAUCAACUUGUCUGUAAAAAAUAUGAGCUUUAAUAUAGUGAUUAACUGGUCUAAAAAUGAUUAUUUUAUUAGAUUAUUAAUAAUUAGACCAAAACUAAAUUCCUCCUUUGCAUUCACAGUCUGCUCCUUUGGA